UCUUGGUAUGGAAUCUGGUGUUUAUCAGUCCAGGAGGACAGUUUGGCCGUAGGUAUGUUAUCCCCAUGGCGACCAGGCACAUAGUCCAAAGCUCACUGAAAGUGCGAAAUGCAGUUUCCUUCUUUUUCAAGAUGGAAUCAGCUCAGCCUGUUCCUUUCCUCCCUCGCUUUCAGAAAGGUUUAUUAUCGGUGGCUCUUGUAGAAUAUAAUGAAAAACCCGAGACUGAGCAAGAAGGAACUCCUCAAGAUGGCAGAGGGAGGGCUAGAGACCAGGUCCCUCCGCCGCCGCCCCCGCGGGUGCUUCUGAAGCGCCACUCCACGCAUGCUGUGUGCUGGAGUCAUCUUUCUACAGCGAAUCGGCAAAGAAGGUUAAGGUGGUGCAGUCCAUUCUGAAGGAGAUCAGCCCUGGGAUUUCUUCGGAAGGAAUGAUGCUAAAGCUGAAACUCCAAUACUUUGGCCACCUCAUGCGAAGAGUUGACUCAUUGGAAAAGACCCUGAUGCUGGG
ensembl:lncRNA